GGGACACGUGAAACCCUGUGGGAAGCAGGAGGGACCACCCUCCAAGGCUAAAUACUACCUAGUGACCGAUAGCGUAUAGUACCGUGAGGGAAAGGUGAAAAGAACCCCGGGAGGGGAGUGAAAUAGAACCUGAAACCCUGCACUUACAAGCUGUGGAAGCACAUUUCUUGUGUGACCGCGUACUUUUUGUAGAACGGGCCAACGAGUUACGUUAAGUAGCAAGGUUAAGCACUUAAGGUGCGGAGCCGUAGCGAAAGCGAGUUUUAACUGAGCGUUCAGUUACUUGACGUAGACCCGAAACCGGGCGACCUACCCAUGAGCAGGAUGAAGCGAAAGUAAAAUUUCGUGGAGGUCCGAACCCACGAGCGUUGAAAAGCUCGGGGAUGACUUGUGGGUAGCGGUGAAAUUCCAAUCGAGCCCGGAGAUAGCUGGUUCUCCCCGAAAUAGCUUUAGGGCUAGCCUCAAGGUGAGAGAUACGGAGGUAGAGCACUGAAUGUCCUAGGGGGUAUUGCACCUACCGAAGACUAUCAAACUCCGAAUGCCGUCAUCUUAUACUUGGGAGUCAGACUGUGGGUGAUAAGAUUCAUAGUCGAAAGGGCAACAGCCCAGAUCGUCAGCUAAGGUCCCUAAAUGUAAGUUAAGUGGUAAAGGAUGUGGGAUUGCACAGACAACCAGGAUGUUGGCUUAGAAGCAGCCACUCAUUCAAAGAGUGCGUAAUAGCUCACUGGUCGAGUGAUCCUGCGCCGAAGAUUUCCGGGGCUAAAACUUACUACCGAAGCUACGGCAUCAGUAAUGAUGGGUAGGGGAGCUUCCCAUACGGGUUGAAGCAUGACCGUAAGGACAUGUGGACAGUAUGGGAGUGAGAAUGUUGGCAUGAGUAGCGAGAUGUGGGUGAGAAUCCCACAGGCCGUAAACCCAAGGUUUCCAGGGGAAGGUUCGUCCGCCCUGGGUUAGUCGGGACCUAAGCUGAGGCCGAAAGGCGUAGGUGAUGGACAACAGGUUGAU
rnacentral:rRNA from 1 species